GUUUUUCACUCUUACGUUACAAUUUUGUUAUGGGGGAUAUGAGUUACAAGUGACUUUUUUUUUUAAUCUAAUCUGAGAACUUUGGCUUUGCCAUACCAGGUUUGCCUUCUGUCAUCAGUAACACGCACUGGCAGAGCUCUUGAAAGCUGACAAACUGUUGGGCAGAGCACAGCUUUGCCCAUGGAUGAAGGAUAUUUUUGGUCAAAGCCCUUCUCAUAUAAAUCAGGAGCACCACUGCUUGUUUAAUUAGUACAUUUUAGAGCUCAUUAGGGAAAAAUGAAGUAGCCGACUGAUGGCAAGUUGUUGUUCAUUUGCUUUUUAUUAUAUAAAUGGCAUGUAGAUAAUGAGUCACUGAAACAACCAAACAACUUUUGAUUAAUGUAUUUGAUACAGUUGCUCAGAAGGGAAAACAUUUUGAGUAAUUUGUUGUUGUUUGUAAUGAGCACGCGGUAUGACAGUGGUGAUUACCUUAAUGAAUCAAUUAAGCUCAAUGCAAUUUGAGUUGAAUGGAGCCAGCGAUGUCCAACUGUGCAACCACGGCUGGGGCUGGGAGGGUUGCUCAGCAAAGCAGAUCACAUUGCAGCCAGCCCGGUGCAGCCGUGCCCAGUGGUGAUUCGGGGAGGUGGAGAAGACGAGGAGGCAGGUGGCAGAGCCUCUGUUGGACGAGGAGCAUACUUUGGCAACUCGCGUGUCUCUGAGCACGGUAAUUAUCUUUGUUGCUUGGGUUGGAUCAGAUCUGGCCCCUGACCCUUUGGAGACAACAGAGCCAUGUCCAUUUCUCACCAGAUGCUUUUCUCAUCAAACCGGAUCUGUUCAGAAAUGUGACUUAUACAGGAGCGGAAGGAAAGUUUGUCUACUUGUCUACUGAUUACCAAAUGGUUGUUAAGAAAUGGAAUGGGCUCCACAGGAGAGAGGAGGAAGGGGAAGGUAAAAUGGCUGUAGGAAUGCAAAAUGACUUCUCUAUCUCAACUUCAAAGACUAUUUGGAAGGC
ensembl:lncRNA